UCCACCGCACACCUCUCCCUCUCGCUCGUCUCUCCCUCUCCCCCCACCACGAAACCUCACCGCCGCCACCUACGACGCUCGAUUCCGGCUUGUACCGGCGGCCCUCGCCGGCGCGCAGCACAGAUCCGAGCUCCCUUGCCGCCGCUCUUCCCUUCCCUCCGGCCAGAUCCGCCUCUCGCGUCCCCGAGAGCUCACCCACGACCCCUCCCCAUUGCUAGGGUUUCGAGGGUGGCAUCCCCUCCAACUCUGGCAUGUCGCUGGCGACUCUGCUCCGCCCUCUCCGACGGCCACCGCAAGUCCCACGGGCAGCUCCCCCUCGUGGUCGGCUCUCCUGCACCCGGUGGCUGCGGGGCGGACGCACGCGGCGGGUAAACUCCGGCGAGACGACAGCUCCAUCCACGGCGUGACGGAGGCUCCAUCCACGGCGUGAUGGCGGUGCACUACAUCGGCUAAAGCACCCCCAUGAGAUGCAGAGAGGGGGGGACGCCCAUCGAUUGGACUGCAAGGAUUGGAUGCAAACCAAUGCACAUGAGGAGGAGAGAUGCAAGCCACGCCAUGACCUAAAGAUUUCUUAACUCAGCGUCAGUGCAUCAAAGAUGGUUAGGAGGUUGAAGAUAUGUCGUGUGAAAGGCGCGGGGAGGCAAGGACGGGACACGCAGGAUGCUGGGGUGGAGGACGAACACCGCAUCAAGGUACGAUGGUGAUGAAGUUUUAAAAUAGUCCAUUGCCCAACAAGGGCAUUCUAAUUUCUGACUGGAUUAUACUGUAACAAUAUGACACCGAAAUUUCAAAUGGUUCACAUACUAUAGUUCAUUUACAGGAGAUUGUAAACGUUUAGCCACCAUGUGUUGAGAAAUUGUGCAUUGAGAUAAAAGAUUAUAUAAUUUAUGCAAAGGGUGUGAUAUAUAUUUGUUUCAACAAGUAUGUUGAUUCAUGGAGAAUGAUAUUAUAAAUUAUUAGUAUGAUUGAUGAA